rnacentral:misc_RNA from 1 species
CUAUUAGAAAUCCGGCUGAAGGUUUUCCUUUUAUUUAAAUUUCUUAGAUUCCAAUUAAAAUGAAUUUAAUUACAUAGUCGGCUUAAGUUGUAAUAAAUAACGAUCGAAUAUAUUCACGCGUGUUAAUGUAUUUUUCCAAAAAAAAAAAAAGGAACGAAUUAAUAAGAGCAUGCAAAUUUCUUUUUUCUUCAAUCUAGUUGGUAAUAGUCGUGCAAUAGAAGUAGAAUUUUAAGUUGCUAAUAUUGAUAUGCCGAUUGACGUUUGUAAGGUGCCCGAAAUAGUUAAAAGAAGAGUAAAGAAAACGAGGGAGAAAUAUUUGUUUUCAGGAGAAUGUCAGAUUCAAUGGUAGAUGAAAGAGUGGCUGAUGAAAUCGAAGCCUUAAAAGCUAUUUUAUUAGACGACGAACUGAGCAUAAAAGAAAAUGACAGAGGAGAGCCAGAGUAUAUUGAAACUAUAUUAUUCCCCUCGACUGGAGAAGAUUCACAAUCGCAAUAUGUCUGCGUUACCCUUGUCGUACAAUUACCUUAUGGCUAUCCAGAUGUAUCUCCAAAUAUUAGCUUAAGAAAUCCAAGAGGAUUAGACGAAGAUACAGUAAGGUUAAUGCAAUCUGAUGCCGAAGCUAAAUGUAAAGAUUUUAUUGGACAACCAGUAAUGUUUGAGUUAAUCGAGUUGAUUAGGGAACAUCUUACGAGAAGCAACUUACCUACAGAUCAAUGUGCAGUUUGCUUAUAUGGCUUUAGAGAAGGCGACAAAUUUACAAAAACAGAGUGCUAUCAUUACUUUCAUUCUCAUUGCUUAGCGGCACAUGUUGCAGCAGCUGAACGUUAUUACAGAGAAGAACAAGAGAAAUUACCGCAAUGGCAACAAGAUACUACUAACAAAUUUCAGGCUAUUUGUCCUGUUUGUCGAGAAUCUAUACAUUGCGACCUGCAAAGUUUAUGGUCAGCUCCACCUCCUAUAGACGUAGAAGCAGCUACAGACUUUUCAGUUACCGCUGAAUUAAAAGAGCUACAAAAGCAAAUGGCAGCGUUAUACUUGAGACAACAACAAAGGGGUGGUAUCAUUGAUUUAGAAGCUGAAGGGGAAAAAAUGUUACUAAGAACUGAAGACGAUACUGCUGUUUCCACUGAGAGAUUCAAUCCACCUAGCACUAGUUUAAACACAUAUGCUAAUCAAUCUAUUCAAUCUGUCACUCAAGUGCAAUCUUCGAACAAUACGCAAAACCAACCACGACAAUUCCAUCACAAUCAUCACGGACAUAAUAAUCAUGGACAUAAUAAUCACGGACAUAAUAAUCACGGACAUCGUAACCGAGGUAGAGGCCGUGCCCAUUAUCGACGCCAAUUUGAUAAAAUGAGGCAUACCGAAACUACUCCCAGAUGACAAUGGGCUCGAGAUCAAAUAUUAACUGCCUGGUCAUUUACUUUGCUGAGCGUAUUUAAUACAGUGUUAUUGUUCAGCAAUAUUCCCAUUGCACUGGCGUAUAAAAUGGGAUGUGUUGAAAGUUCUAAGGACUGUCUACAUAGACUGAAGCCAUGGUGCUCUUUAAACUGCAAGUGUACAGAUUUUUUCAUUCAGUUUCCAUAUUUUUACAUUCCUGCAAUAAUACAAUACCUAUGGAAAUAUUUUUCGUCGAUAGAACCACGUUAAAGAUAUUUUAACGGUGCUUUAUAAUUAGAAAUUACCUUUAAAGUAGCAGAUAUAUUAGUAUCCUGCGUAUAUCUCUUAAUAUAGCAUUUCAAAGUGGUUCUCAAUUCGUAAUCCAAUAUGUUCAAUUAUACUCAUUUAAUAUCUCUUAUACAAAAUGCAUAAGUAAGAAACAUAUUCUCUGCAUAUUCUUAUAGAAUUUUCUUAUUACUAAAAUACAAAUGUCUCAUCAAUUCAAAUUAUUUCAUUUAUCAUUUUAUUUCAAAAUCAACGUGCUUUUUUAAGCUUUUUUUUUUUUUUUUUUUUUUUUUUUAACUUCGUAUUUAGAUUACUAUUUUUCUAUGCAGGAUAAAGGCAUUUGUCUAUUGUAGAUAUUCCUUCAACAUAUAUAAAUUGAACAAAAAUUGUUAAUAGUUUUAAUCUCUUCCACAUGAAUGUGAUACUUACGAAAGGGUAAUAGUAGGCUAAAAAUGAAAUCUUCAAGUAAUAUCUAUUAAAAUAAUUGAUUUAUAUAUACGAUUGGAAAAGACAUUAUAAUGAUGUUCACUCUUCUAUCAGUAAUAUUAUCAUUUUUCUUCACGAAAUAAUUGAUUACAUGACAAUGAUUUUUAUAUUAGUUUAAAUAUUACAUUUCAGAAAUACUGAUAAUUAUCGAAUUAAUAAUUGGCAAUGUCAAAUUGAACGUUAUCUCAAUCAAUUGAACGUUGAUUAUAAAGUAUAAUGAGUCUUUGAUCUUGAUAGAAAGAAAAAUUAUUGAAGAAAUAUCUUUUUUGCCUAAUAUUUUGUCAAAUAUUUUGUCUAAUAUUUUGCCUAGCCUAUGUGCCCAUUAAGUCUAUAACAAUAUUAACAUAUGGAUGAGUGAUAGACACGAAUGAAAGAUAAAACAACAAUAACAACAACAAAUUUGAAACUUUCAUCUAAUAACAUAGUAAUCAUCUUUCUAUCUAUUUUAUUAUUCUCCCACGUAAUUUGAUUAUUUUUCUUCGCAGCGUUGUAACGUUUUAAAAGCUUUUUAUUUAUUUUUUUUUUUUUUAACCUAAAUAAUUGCGUUAACGCGUUUUUGUAUACUGAGCAGUAAUAUAAUGAUAUUAACAAAAAAUAAUAAUCCAAUACUUACUUGGAAAUAUAAUUCUAUAGCAAAAUUUGUUGAAAGAAAGAUAGUCGAAAUAAAAUGUUGCUUGUGAGACAAUGUUUCUCAAAUCCUGGAUUUGUGGCUUACGUAGCCGUUGUUCCUACGUAUGUAAUAUAAUGAUACAGUAUAAUUAUAUUUGCCAACUAUUUCAAUUUGUAAACACCAAAGACUGCCGAGUUUAGAGAAAAGAAAAAAAAAACAAAUUGAUUUGAUAUAUACAGGAUGUUGCAGAUAAAAUCAACGAAUUUAACGAUCGUGUUUGAAUGUUUUUGAUCAAAUGUCUGUAUAAACAUGGUUCUAAAAUUCUUUAUUUUCUGAUAAAUAAUUCGAAUCCAUGUCUAUAUAAACAUAUUUCUUUUUUUGUUUACCAAGUAAUCGAAAUUCUUUAAUACAAUUCUUCAAUGUUUGAACGUUUCUUUUCUGGACAACUAUGAGAUCUGUUUAAAAAGUAUGGAAUUUAACUUUUCCUCUUUUUUUUUUUUGUUUUUGUUUUUUUAGUAUAUUUUAUUUUCUACUACAAUUAUCUGUGAUAUUUUGUAAAUGAGGAUAUUAGAAGAAACCGAAUUUUGGCAUAUAAUAGAUAUGAUUAAUUAUGUAUAUCAUUAGUUUUACUUUUGUAGUUUCGUUAUAGAAUUAUUAUUGGUAAAUUUUAACUUUCUAUUUUUUUUUUAUUAUUUAACACAAUUUAAGAUUAUAUUGAAAUAAGUUACAGAGAUUAAUAUCAAAUUAAAAUGUGUGUGUCUCAUUAAUGAUAUUAUGCAUUAAGCAAUAAAUAAGAGUAUAUAAACACUUUUAAUAAAUAUUGAGUUAGAACUGCCAAAAUACGGAUUCUGUGGUUAUAUUAUUUAGUUUUUAUUGUAAUAGUACGGUAAAUAUAAAUAUUUCAUACGAAGGAUUAGAAAUUGAGAACUGAUAUUACAUAUACGAUGUUUUAUAUAUAUAUAUAUGUGGCAUUAUAUAUAGACUCAUACUUAAUAUUUAAUUUUAUCGAUAUAUUAAUUUUAUUAUUUUCAAAUAAUAAAUUAUCUAACAUUAGUAUCUUAAACGAUGUAGUAAACAAUUACUUGUAUUCUCUUAUAUAACAGUUCGCACAAUUUAUUGAUAUUUCGUUAAUGCGUUAGUGUUAUUUUAUAUGAUAAUGUGAACAUCUGUGUUUAACAAUAUGCAUUUAAUUAAAUACGUAUAAUCGCAAGCAAAAAUAAUAUGCAUUUCUAAAUUAAUAGUUGCAUGAACAUAUCGGUAAUUUUUCUAGUCGUGCAGCCAAAAUAAUUUCAAUAAAAUCUAUGUAAAAAUAGUAUAUAUUAAAGUCAAUACAUAUAAAUAUAUAUAUAUAG